UCAGCCUUUCCGGCAUCUGAACGAACGACUUACACUGGGACUGCAGUGCAGCUGGCGAGCGAAGUAAAAAUGCGAGCUGAAGUGGCUGGCUUUUGGUGUGUCAUUGAAAACCCCAGGCUGUAGCACCCGGGAAGAUUCUCCAACACGCCUAAUUAUGAGGUCUCUUCCCUUUGUGUGGGACUUCACAGUGCCAGUCAUUAAGAUCACUUGCUCUGGAGGAAGCCAUCUGCUAUGUCAUGAGGACAGUUUAGUGACCUAUGAAGAGGCCCAUGUGGUGAAACUGAGGCCCCCUGCCAACAGCUGGACCAGAACUGAGGCCUUUUGUCAAGAGUUAUGUGAGUAAGCCAUCCUGGAAGCAGAUUCAACAGCCCUAGUCAAGCCUUUGGAUGACACAGCCCUGCCUGACACCUUGAUUUGAGCCUUAGGAGACCCUGAGACAGAACCUAUUCUUCUAGGCUGCUUCUUGGACUUCUGACCCUCAGAAAUUGUACUAGAGGAUACAUGUUUAUUGCUUUAAGUUACUUUAAUUUUAAGUCACUUUAAUUUUUUUUUUCACAUUGCAAUAAACAACUAAUAUGUCUACCA